rnacentral:pre_miRNA from 13 species
GGCUCGCACGGGAUAAUGCAUUAUUCCGUGCGGGUGCUUAAGCGGACCGCAUGGGAUAAUGCAUUAUCCCGUGCAGUC